AUUUUCUAACAUGACAAACAAGAUAAGAGAGUGGAUGAUGUGACCACAAUACAAUACCACGAGAAAGUUUUAGCCAGCUCUGAUACAUGAAUCUUGAGAGAAGGACAAGGGCCCCCUCCCUCGUCACCUUUCUUGCUGAGAUCAAAAGCCAAUCCAUCUUCUUUUUCUCUCUUAUUUCAAAAGCUAAAAUGGAUAAAAAGGCAAAUGACUUUUGAGUUAUAGUGGUGGUUGGAGCAUUAGCAAAAGCUAGGUGGGAUGUUAAUGGCCUUCAUUACCCCACUCGUGACUGACUCAUGACUCUACAGUGUGAAAGAAAGACGAUCUAAAUGUUCCCAAGACUUUAAAUCAAAGAUGAUCCAACCAAAGCCGAAGGAGUUUUAAAACCAGUUCUUCAAGUUUCAGUUUGAGGAGUACUGCAACAGGAAACUCUACUCUCAUUCUCUCAGUAUCAGCUUUCAAGUCUCAAGUGACCUUCUCGAGGAAGAGACUGCAAUGGAGGAGGGGAAGGAGGAGAUGGUGGCUAGAGCACCCACUCCAGUGCUUAUGAGACAGACAAGUGCAAAGACCAGUUGCCUCUGCUCUCCAACAACACAUGCUGGUUCAUUUCGGUGCAGGCUUCAUCGGGGACCUCAUCUCCAACGCCCCAAAAGCAUCAACACUGCCACUCUUAGUGAGUCUCCUGCAAAGGCAAACAAUGGAAGCACAGUAGAGGCCCAGUGAUUAACUGAUGUUAUUGCUGUAACCUCUAUCUCUGUUAUGAGACUUUGGUUUUGAUUUGAUUUGGGAAAUUCCGAAUUCUAAAAUGUGAUCUAAGCUGUGGUAACCAGUACUGUCAGGAAAUCAAAAGAUUACAGAGUUUAAACUCAUAA